UCCUGGUUCGCUCAGUUGGUAGAGCGCUCCACUGGAAAUGGAGAUGUCCCUGGUUCGGUUCCAGGACCAGGAG
rfam:Ixodes scapularis strain Wikel colony gcontig_1108378836904, whole genome shotgun sequence.